UGCCUCUGCCUUCCAAGUGCUGAGAUUAAAGACCUGCACCACCACCGCCUGGCUAGGUGUCAUCUCUAUGAGCUGCUGUCGCUGUACAACUAAGAGGAGCUUCGUCUACAAGCAAGCAGUUUUGCUGCAGUGUGAAUGUAUUUUGGACUUUGUACAUUUUCAGUAAAUCAGAGAGAACAAACUCCAUAACAAGAAGGGGCUAAAUGAGAUGUGGGGUUCCAAGGGCUGGAAAGACAAGAGUACUGCAGAGAG
rnacentral:lncRNA from 1 species